GACGAACGCUGGCGGCGUGCUUAACACAUGCAAGUCGAACGGAAAGGCCCUGCUUUUGUGGGGUGCUCGAGUGGCGAACGGGUGAGUAACACGUGAGUAACCUGCCCUUGACUUUGGGAUAACUUCAGGAAACUGGGGCUAAUACCGGAUAGGAGCUCCUGCUGCAUGGUGGGGGUUGGAAAGUUUCGGCGGUUGGGGAUGGACUCGCGGCUUAUCAGCUUGUUGGUGGGGUAGUGGCUUACCAAGGCUUUGACGGGUAGCCGGCCUGAGGGGGUGACCGGCCACAUUGGGACUGGGAGACGGACCAGGGACCCACGGGAGGAGGGAGGGGGGAAGAUUGGGAAAUGGGGGGAAACCUGAGGCAGGAACCCGGUGGGGGAGAUGAGGGGCUUCGGGUUGAAAACCGGUUUCCCCCAUGGCGAAACGUGGGUUGGGGUAAUGGGAAAAAGAGAACCCGCCAAAAACG
rnacentral:rRNA from 1 species